AUGGUAACACUGCCCAGGGAUAAAGAUGAGGAACAAAACAACAACCUUCCUGAAACUCUGGAAGAAGGAGAGAAUGGUGCAUCCUCUUGCUGUUUCCUGCCAUGCCUUGCUAUUCCAGGUGUGUUCAGAUUUCUUUUGUUUCAUUCCUUGCAUGGUGAUUUUCAUUCUGGAGCUCCUUUUUGUCCGUUUCUCCACAGCUUCUCCCAGAUGGAGCAAAGACCUUUAGAAGUUUGAGGGACACACAAAUGACAGAACCUGAAUUAGGAAGAGGCUGCACCUUCCCAGUUGUGCCAACAUGCCACUUGUGAACAGAGGCUUUGAACACAUGCCACAUAAGGUGUGUGUAUAUAUAAAUGGGUGUGGGGAACCAAGUGCCCUCCUCUGGGACAUUUCCACUUCCAGACAGUUUAAUAACAGAAGCUGAGAUUCCUUCUUACACCUCUGC
rnacentral:lncRNA from 1 species